GACGAACGCUGGCGGCGUGCCUAAUACAUGCAAGUUGAGCGAUGAAGAUUGGUGCUUGCACCAAUUUGAAGAGCAGCGAACGGGUGAGUAACGCGUGGGGAAUCUGCCUUUGAGCGGGGGACAACAUUUGGAAACGAAUGCUAAUACCGCAUAACAACUUUAAACAUAAGUUUUAAGUUUGAAAGAUGCAAUUGCAUCACUCAAAGAUGAUCCCGCGUUGUAUUAGCUAGUUGGUGAGGUAAAGGCUCACCAAGGCGAUGAUACAUAGCCGACCUGAGAGGGUGAUCGGCCACAUUGGGACUGGGACACGGCCCAAACUCCUACGGGAGGCAGCAGUAGGGAAUCUUCGGCAAUUGACGAAAGUCUUACCGGGCAACGCCGCGUGAGUGAAUAAGGUUUUCGGAUCGUAAAACUCUGUUGGUAGAGAAGAACGUUGGUGGGAGUGGAAAGCUCAUCAAGUGACGGUAACUACCCAGAAAGGGACGGCUAACUACGUG
rnacentral:rRNA from 1 species